UCCUCCUACGCGGGAGCACCCGCGGAGAGCCCAGCCUGCUUCUCUCCUCCCCACCGGCGCGGAGGAGAGCAACUGGAGCCGAGGGCACUCCCCGACACUGCCUUCUCAAAGUUCUAGGAUGGAAGGGCUAGAAAAGACCUUGCCACAUCGUCUGAUUUGUAGUAACUUAGAUAAAAGAGAAUGGUAAUGAUGGGGGAGGGGGUUCUUGGAGCCUAGAAUGGUAGUGUAGCAAAUGAGAAAACAGAAUGUUAACAGUGGGAGAGGCCUUAGGACCUAGAAUGUUAGUGUAGCAACUCAGAUGAAACAAUGUUAAUAUGGGGAGGGGGCGUGUUCUUGUAGCUUAGAACGUUAGCGCAGUAACUUAGAAAACAAUGUUAACUAACUGGGAGGGGUCUUGUUACUUAAAAUGUUAGUGUAGCAACUUGGAUGAAACAAGUUAACGAUGGGGAGGGUCUUCUUGGAACUUAGGAUGUUAAUGUAGCAACUUGGAUGAAACAAGUUAACGAUGGGGAGGGUCUUCUUGGAACUUAGGAUGUUAAUGUAGCAACUUGGAUGAAACAAGUUAAUGAUGGGGGGGGGUUCUUCUUGGAAUUUAGGAUGUUAGUGUAGCAACUUGGAUGAAACAAGUUAAUGAUGGGGGGGUUCUUCUUGGAACUUAAAAUGUUAGUGUAGCAACUUAGAUGAAACAAUGUUAAUGAUGGGGAGGUGUUCUUGGAAUUUAGACUAUUAGUUGAGCAAUUUAGAAAACAGAAUGUUGAGUGGAAUGGGCCUUAGGACUUAGAAUGUAGUGCAGCAACUCAGAUAAAACAAUGUUAAUGAUGGGGGAGUGUUCUUGGAACUUAGAAUGUUAGUGUAGCAACUUAAAUGAAACAAGUUAAUGAUGGGGGGGGUGUUCUUGGAAUUUAGAAUAUUAGUGUAGCAACUUAGAAGACAGAAUGUUAACAGUGGAAUGGGCCUUAGGACUUAGAAUGUUAGUGGAGCAACGGUUAACAGUAAGACUGGAGCUUAGAAUGGUAGUGUAGCAACUUAGAUAAAACAAUGUUAAUGAUUGGGGGGGAGGAUGUUCUUAGGAGCUUAGAAUGUUAGUGUAGCAACUUAGAAAACAAAAUGUUAACUAACAGUAAGAGGGGCCUUGGAACUUAGAAUGUAGCAACUUAGAUAAAACAGAAUGUUAACAGUGGAAUGGGCCCUACAGAACCUAGAAUGUUAGAGAAGCAACCUAGAAAAUAGAAUGUAGACAGGGGUAGGGAAUCUAGAACGUGGAAAAUUAGAUAACAACUUAGGAAACAUGAUGCAAUUUUUGGAAAGAUCUUUAUAGUGGUGUUUUUGUAUCAUGGACUCCUUCAGCAGUCUGGUGAAAACUAUGAUUCCCAUCUCAGAUGAAGCUUUUUUUUUUUUUUUAAAUGCACAAAAUAAAACACAUAGAAUCACAAAGGAAAACCAUUAUACUUAGUUAUAGUUAUAAAUUUUAAUUGAAUUGUUAAAUUUCAAAAAAGGUUCAUGGACCCCACUUUAACAAUGUUCAUGAAUAUACUUUAGUAAACUAGUGUUCAUACCUCCAGAGGUAUUCAGAGAUUUCACUAACAGGCAUAUCUCCCAAGGAGGUAAUUGAUUUUAAAAAAAGAAAGAAAGAAAGUCUCCAUAUACACUACAUUUAUAGCAGAAAUUUUUGUGGUAGCAAAGAAUUAAUGCCUACCACUUGGGGGAUGAUUAAACAAAUUGUAGUCCAUGAAUGGAAUAUUACUAUGGUCUAAGAAAUAAUGACUAUCACAACUAUAGAGAAGCAUUGAAAGAUGUAUUUCAGCAACUGCAGAGUAAAGUAAGCAAGACCAAGAAAAUAGCAUGUAUGAUGACAAUUACAACGGAAAGCCAAUGAUGUAAAAGAACAAUUGAAGAUAAAUGCAGAAAAAAUUAUAAAGAACAAGCUUGGCUCCCUAAAAGAAAACAUAAGAAGACACCUCCCUCCACUCCUUGGUAGAGAUGAAGUAUCCACAGUGGUGUCAAGCAUUGAUGGAACUGAAUCCUCGAUGAGACAAUAGAGCUUUCAUUGAAGGAUGGUGUCUAGCGUGCUAGGAAGUCACUCUGGAUCCUUGAAGGCCAUACCCAUGGAGUCUUAAGCUGUGACAUAUCCUGAUGAUCUGAGAGUCAAAAGCCAAGCUGAGUCAGCCUGACUAAGUUUAACAAGCAUCCUCAUCAAAAAGGCAAUGUUUUGGAUCACAGGAAAUAGAGAAAAUUGCAUUCUAGCUCAAAUAAGGGCCAUAAUUUGUAUCAUCACUGAGGGGACAUGGGUAUACAGAGGAAAAAACAAUCUCGAGGUCUGUGUAUACUGGAGAAGAAAAUUCUGGAGAGAUUUUCUGUGAUAUCUUAUCUCAGUGCCAAGAGAGGACAAGCUGCUAUAUUGUCUGGUUCUUCAGUGCCUCAAAAAAGGGAACGGCAACAAAUCAUCCAGAUAGCUAAGAAGCUUGUGGCCAAAGCAGUCUGGUGACUUUGUUGGAGUGCGUAUCAUUCUGACGAUCUUCCCAUUAAAUACAAUGUGGAGACAAUUAGGCAUCGGGGGCAAAAAGCAUUAAUAUAAAGUUAGACCUUCUAGCUAGAAGGUUUUAGGAUGUGUUGACUUGAGUGAACAAAGGACAUUCUAUUUCUAAAUACAAUGAUUUACCCAGCUAGUUUCUACACGCCUUUUUUUUCUUUUUUUUAAAGUAAAGUGCUAGUUUCACAACCACCAAAAUUUAUCUAAAUGUGGUCAAGUUUCUCUAUGGGACCAGCAAGAGAGAAAAUGGGACAAAUGAGACAUGGGAUGUACCACAUUUUGUGGUCUGUGACACUGAAGGUGAUAGUCUGACUCCUCGGUCUUUAGCUGAAUACAGAAGCUCUCAGUAGGGAGCUGUACUCAGGGGCAGUCAUGGGCCCAGAAAAAAAAGGCUGUUUGUUGAUGGCUCCUGGCUUUUUCUCCUGCCAUAUUCUUUUUCAAAGCUGCUUUGGCUACUCUAGAGGUAAAUGAAUAUGAGAAAGUAGCUGUUGAAUAUCAGGAAUUCAGAGAACCCUUGGAAGAUUUGUAUGAUGUAAUGCUAAGUAAAAUAAGCAGAACCAGGAGAAUAUUACAUACACUGACUAUCAAUGAUUAUUAACUGGUUGGCUGGUUAUUGUAUUUUGUUCUCAAAAAGGACCAAAAUGACAUCACUCUAUUUGAGUCGAGUUAUACUGUGUGGGACUAUGGCUGAUCAGAUCAAUUGAAACUCAGAGGGCUCUGCCACAAGUCAGACAUAAAAUAGUCCCUAGGAACAUUUCAGGUGCCUCUCUAACUUUGUGCAUCUCACGUUCCUUCUGCGCUAAUUUAAUUCUGCUUUGCUCAUAAAACACAGCACUUUCUCUGAGGAGGGCACUCCAUUCCUGGCAGUCCUGUGCCAGGGUCUCCAUGUCAUGUAAUAGAUUCUAAAGUUCUUAAGCGAGACCUUGAAAGUGUCCUUGUAUUUCCUUUUCUAACCAUCUCGUGAGUACUUGAUCUAUGUGAGUUCUCCAUCAAAUAAUUUUUUGGUCAAAUGUACAUUUGGUAUUCAAGCAAUAUAGCCAGCCCAGUGGCAUUGUGCUCUCUGCAGUAGAGUUGGGAUGCUAGGCAGUUUAGUUGGAGAAAGGACCUCAGUGUCUGAGAUUUUAUCCUGCCAGGUGAUCUUCAGAAUCUUCCCAAGACAAUUCAAAUGGAAGCGAUUCAGUUUGACUAUUCCUAUUCCUAUUGGCUGCUCAAUAGUCCAUACAUAAGACUAUAAAUGAAGAAUAUAUAGAAAGGAAAUUGAAUUCUGAGUAACUGUAAUAAAUAGUCUUGGUCCUGGGGAACAGUAUUGCACCUAUUUCCUUCUUAUCAGCAGCAAGGUGGAGGAGAAUGGAGGCAGUAUAUUGAAUAUGCUGUCAGAUGCGAUCCCUUUAUCAGUUGUUUUGUUUUGACUUACAAGAGAAGAUGCCAUGUUGAACAGGAAAGCAGGUAAUAUAUGAAUAUGAAUAUGAAGGAAAUUAAAGGCAUCAAUAAAAGUUUUUUUUAAUCGCCAGAUUUUGUUUCCUUCUUUCAUAGAUUAUUCUAAGUUUGAAUGAAAAUGUAUUAUUAUUUUUUGGGGAGAAGGAGAUAGGGUUUAAGUGACUUGUCCAAGGUCACACAGAUAGUGUCAAAUUUGAACUCAGCUCCUUCUGACUCCAAGACCUGUACUACACGUAUUGUUUAUCUAGCCACUCCCUAAAUGAAAUCAUUACUUCCCUAAAAAAUCAGGGAUACGAAUUCCUGUGAAACCUAUAUGAUGCCUUGACUAGUCCUAGAAACUAGUAAUAGUCAAAAAUCGAGUCUCAAGUAUGUCCUGUUGUGGUAUUUUUGGACCCAAGCUGGCAUUUAAUCCAGGAGAACAUGAGCUCUAGUAGAGCAGGGAUUAUUUUAAACCUCUUUUUGCAUCCUCAAUACCUUGCUGAAGCACAUAGUAGGUACUUAAUGAAUGCUUAUUGAAUAAAUGAAUAAAUGAGGGUCAUGAUAGAAUGUAAGCUCUAAGAAAGGUUUCAGUUUUAUCUUUUUAUUCCCAGUGUUUGUCAC